rnacentral:rRNA from 1 species
AUUGAACGCUGGCGGCAGGCCUAACACAUGCAAGUCGAGCGGAUGAAGAGAGCUUGCUCUCUGAUUUAGCGGCGGACGGGUGAGUAAUGCCUAGGAAUCUGCCUGGUAGUGGGGGAUAACGUUCCGAAAGGAACGCUAAUACCGCAUACGUCCUACGGGAGAAAGCAGGGGACCUUCGGGCCUUGCGCUAUCAGAUGAGCCUAGGUCGGAUUAGCUAGUUGGUGAGGUAAUGGCUCACCAAGGCGACGAUCCGUAACUGGUCUGAGAGGAUGAUCAGUCACACUGGAACUGAGACACGGUCCAGACUCCUACGGGAGGCAGCAGUGGGGAAUAUUGGACAAUGGGCGAAAGCCUGCUCCAGCCAUGCCGCGUGUGUGAAGAAGGUCUUCGGAUUGUAAAGCACUUUAAGUUGGGAGGAAGGGCAGUAAGUUAAUACCUUGCUGUUUUGGCGUUACCGACAGAAUAAGCACCGGCUAACUUCGUGCCAGCCGCUGCCGUAAGAC